AACUAAUUUCAUCGAACAAACGGAGCUGUCAAAUCCAUGUACCCCUGCCCGACCCGAGAUAUAUUCAGUUUGCCACCAGAGCUCGUCUGGAGCACAACUCGUUUCGGAAAAAUAAAAAUGUGAAAAAAACACAAAAUUCAUAGUAAAGCGACGGAAUUUAUUGGUUAACUUUCCGAGUUAUUACAUCCAAACAAACACGUACAGAUAAUGCAGUUUAUUCGAAUAAGGAAAUAACACGAAAUUAGUGCAGUUGAUACACAAGAUAGCUGCUGCUACCGCAGAUAUAAUCACAUGUGCAAACACAUUUACUGGAUACUCAUCCCAUCCCAAAUUUAGUUGGUCUGGCUAAAAUGCAAACUAAUCAAGAUCGUUCUGCCUACACUUGAUAAAAUGUUUUUCAAUUCGAUGGUACCAGUCCCGUUGGACGAGAGGAUUGCAUCGUUUUGGACACAAAUGUUCUCUUGCCUGUUCUGCAUACACCAUGCUAUUGGAUUAUCUGAAAUGCAAACUAAUCAAGAUCGUUCCGCCUACACUUUGUUAACAGUCUGAACAACCUACGAGAGAUAAAACGAUGGUACCAGUCCCGUUUGACGAGAGGAUUUCUUCGUUUUGGUUACAACUGUUGCUAACAUAUUGCUUGCCUUGCCCUCAUCCUCAUACGCUAAUGGACUGCCUCGCCUCUCUAGGAUUAGUUGGAUUGCCCCAAAUGCAAACUAAUGAAAAGAUCGUUCCGCAUAUUCAAGGUAAAUCUAAUUCAAACUGUUGUUACCGGUCCCGUUGGACAAGAGGAUUGCAUCGAUUUGAUGCUCCGUCGUGCCAAGUGCCCAACAUUCACAUUUCGCUUGUCAUUGUCUGAAUAAACGUUGUUCGUCGAUUGGAAAA